AUGCACCGCGCGUCAACCGGACGUGGCGGCAAGGGGAACGGGGCGAUUUUUCCGGUUUCUCGCCUCGGCCAACGAAACGGCAGCCGAGCCCCUGUCCCGCCCGCGGC
rnacentral:sRNA from 1 species